rnacentral:lncRNA from 1 species
UUUAACUUAAUUAAGGCUUUAAUAGGAGUUUUAUUUCCCUUAGAGGCUUAUUGUGAAGUUUAAAGUGGCCUUAGAAAUAAGUACCCCAAAUACCUGUUCCAUCAAACAUCUUUUUGAACUUCCUAUUUUACUCAGAGGAAUAUUGCUAAUCAGAUAUGUGAGCUCUUUUGGAUGAAUCUGAACUUCACUCAAGGUAACAACCCCGAAGACUUCUAUAGUGGUUAUUUUGGUGGUUUCUUUGAAGUCUCUUAAGAAGAGAUGGGAGCAAAAUGUGAGUGAAAAGGGUGCUGAACUGGUGGCAGCUGCAAAGCUUGGCUUUCUGAGAAAGGUGCUCUCAUUUGAAGGCACCCUCAGCAUCUCUUCAGCUAGCGCCUGCCUUGCUGGCGGGCUGAACCCCAGGAAACACGCUGCACUCUCUGAGCACCUUGGAAAUUAAAGAAUUGCCAGCUUUUCUGCUUUGGGACAAAAAACAUUUGUGCUAAACAGCCGGAUGUCAGCACAUGGUUGUGAGAAAUAAGUGGAGAAAAUUCCAACAAAUCCCAAUAAACGCC